AAAUUGAAGAGUUUGAUCAUGGCUCAGAUUGAACGCUGGCGGCAGGCCUAACACAUGCAAGUCGAACGGUAACAGGAAGCAGCUUGCUGCUUUGCUGACGAGUGGCGGACGGGUGAGUAAUGUCUGGGAAACUGCCUGAUGGAGGGGGAUAACUACUGGAAACGGUGGCUAAUACCGCAUAACGUCGCAAGACCAAAGAGGGGGACCUUCGGGCCUCUUGCCAUCAGAUGUGCCCAGAUGGGAUUAGCUUGUUGGUGAGGUAACGGCUCACCAAGGCGACGAUCCCUAGCUGGUCUGAGAGGAUGACCAGCCACACUGGAACUGAGACACGGUCCAGACUCCUACGGGAGGCAGCAGUGGGGAAUAUUGCACAAUGGGCGCAAGCCUGAUGCAGCCAUGCCGCGUGUAUGAAGAAGGCCUUCGGGUUGUAAAGUACUUUCAGCGGGGAGGAAGGUGUUGUGGUUAAUAACCGCAGCAAUUGACGUUACCCGCAGAAGAAGCACCGGCUAACUCCGUGCCAGCAGCCGCGGUAAUACGGAGGGUGCAAGCGUUAAUCGGAAUUACUGGGCGUAAAGCGCACGCAGGCGGUCUGUCAAGUCGGAUGUGAAAUCCCCGGGCUCAACCUGGGAACUGCAUUCGAAACUGGCAGGCUUGAGUCUUGUAGAGGGGGGUAGAAUUCCAGGUGUAGCGGUGAAAUGCGUAGAGAUCUGGAGGAAUACCGGUGGCGAAGGCGGCCCCCUGGACAAAGACUGACGCUCAGGUGCGAAAGCGUGGGGAGCAAACAGGAUUAGAUACCCUGGUAGUCCACGCCGUAAACGAUGUCUACUUGGAGGUUGUGCCCUUGAGGCGUGGCUUCCGGAGCUAACGCGUUAAGUAGACCGCCUGGGGAGUACGGCCGCAAGGUUAAAACUCAAAUGAAUUGACGGGGGCCCGCACAAGCGGUGGAGCAUGUGGUUUAAUUCGAUGCAACGCGAAGAACCUUACCUGGUCUUGACAUCCACAGAACUUUCCAGAGAUGGAUUGGUGCCUUCGGGAACUGUGAGACAGGUGCUGCAUGGCUGUCGUCAGCUCGUGUUGUGAAAUGUUGGGUUAAGUCCCGCAACGAGCGCAACCCUUAUCCUUUGUUGCCAGCGGUCAGGCCGGGAACUCAAAGGAGACUGCCAGUGAUAAACUGGAGGAAGGUGGGGAUGACGUCAAGUCAUCAUGGCCCUUACGACCAGGGCUACACACGUGCUACAAUGGCGCAUACAAAGAGAAGCGACCUCGCGAGAGCAAGCGGACCUCAUAAAGUGCGUCGUAGUCCGGAUUGGAGUCUGCAACUCGACUCCAUGAAGUCGGAAUCGCUAGUAAUCGUGGAUCAGAAUGCCACGGUGAAUACGUUCCCGGGCCUUGUACACACCGCCCGUCACACCAUGGGAGUGGGUUGCAAAAGAAGUAGGUAGCUUAACCUUCGGGAGGGCGCUUACCACUUUGUGAUUCAUGACUGGGGUGAAGUCGUAACAAGGUAACCGUAGGGGAACCUGCGGUUGGAUCACCUCCUUACCUGAAAGAA
rnacentral:rRNA from 1 species